GUGCUCACUUCAGCAGUACGUAUACUAACAUUGGAAGGAUAGAGAGAAGUUUAGCAUGGCCCCUGCACAAGGAUGACAUGCAAAUUCAUGAAACUUUCCAUAUUUAA
rnacentral:snRNA from 1 species